rnacentral:rRNA from 1 species
UACAGAGGUGCCAAGCGUUAGGCGGAAUCACUGGGCUUAAAGCGCGUGUAGGUGGGUCGUUAAGUGUCCGCGUGAAAUCCCACGGCUCAACCGUGGAACUGCCGGGCAUACUGGCGAUCUUGAGGCAUUCAGGGGCGAGCGGAACAAAUGGUGGAGCGGUGAAAUGCGUAGAUAUCAUUUGGAACGCCAACGGCGAAAGCAGGCAGCUGGGGAUGCACCGACGCUGAGACACGAAAGCCAGGGGAGCGAACGGG